rnacentral:rRNA from 1 species
UACGUAGGGAGCAAGCGUUGUCCGGAAUCAUUGGGCGUAAAGCGCGCGUAGGUGGCCUCGUAAGUCCGCUGUGAAAGUCAAAGGCUCAACCUUUGAAAGCCGGUGGAUACUGUGGGGCUAGAGUACGGAAGAGGCGAGUGGAAUUCCUGGUGUAGCGGUGGAAUGCGCAGAUAUCAGGAGGAACACCAAUAGCGAAGGCAGCUCGCUGGGACGGUACUGACGCUGAGGCGCGAAAGCGUGGGGAGCGAACAGG